rnacentral:rRNA from 1 species
GACAGAGGAUGCAAGCGUUUGUCCGGAAUUAUUGGGCGUAAAGAGCUUGUAGGCGGUUUGUCGCGUCUGCUGUGAAAUUUCGGGGGCUCAACCCCGAACUUGCAGUGGGUACGGGCAGACUAGAGUGUGGUAGGGGAGACUGGAAUUCCUGGUGUAGCGGUGAAAUGCGCAGAUAUCAGGAGGAACACCGAUGGCGAAGGCAGGUCUCUGGGCCAUAACUGACGCUGAGAAGCGAAAGCAUGGGGAGCGAACAGG